rnacentral:lncRNA from 1 species
CUUAAAGGUUAGCAAUGAAAUUGCCUUCUGAACUUUACAGCCCUUACCACGUCUUUCUGAACCUCUCUGAAAUGUUUUCAUUUACAUAGUAAUGUGGGCACAGUGGUUGUAAUGAAAUUUUCUAGUCUUUAGAAGUCUAAAAUCUUGCCUGCCAUCUGAAAUAGAACUCGCUCACUCCUGCUUGCAAUGAAGUUUGCCCACAGGACUCCAAGCUUUUUUGACAGGAAUAAAGAACAAUUUUAUUAUAUUAAUAUCUAGUGCUUAAAACUAAAGAAAAGGCUUAGUUAAGGACUGACUAAGAAGAAAGAAACAGAGCUACUACUCCUAUAUAACUUAAAGGUUAUGAGGGAUUCACACCAAAAAAUUGAUGAUGAAGGCAUAGUUUUUACUGGCCAAAAAUGAUGGGAUCUGAUAAGUAAUGGACAAUAUGAUGGACAUAAAAAGCAGUUACAGCAUCAGCUUCUUUCAUGUGAUGUUCCAAACAAACCAACACAUCUUAACUACACCAUUGCCCUGGGACACUGAGAAAAUCAAGUGCUACGGGACUAAGUGUUUUCCAAUUUAUAUCAAGUAUGACAGUGUGUUAAUACAAAAAUGUUGA